UUGCCUUAAACUAAUGAGUAAGGAAAACAAAGCGAGCGGUGAGAGCCGUUCGCCGCGCAAAGCACUUUAGUGCGCAAGAAUUUAUGGAGGGGUUAUAGGCUGGCCGAGUGUUGACGCUGUUACUUUGCAGAACUCACUCGUGCGGGCCUCCCUA